AGCAGCCGCGGUAAUUCCAGCUCCAAUAGCGUAUAUUAAAGUUGUUGCAGUUAAAAAGCUCGUAGUUGAAUUUCGGGGUUAGUAGGUUGGUCAUGCCACAGGUAUGUACUGAUCUUACUGAUUCCUCCUUCCUGAUGAACCGUAAUGCCAUUAAUUUGGUGUUGCGGGGAAACUGGACUGUUACUUUGAAAAAAUUAGAGUGUUUAAAGCAGGCUAACGCUUGAAUACAUUAGCAUGGAAUAAUGAAAUAGGACGUUCGAUCCUAUUUUGUUGGUUUCUAGGAUUGACGUAAUGAUUAAUAGGGAUAGUUGGGGGCAUUAGUAUUCAAUUGUCAGAGGUGAAAUUCUUGGAUUUAUUGAAGACUAACUACUGCGAAAGCAUUUGCCAAGGAUGUUUUCAUUAAUCAAGAACGAAAGUUAGGGGAUCGAAGACGAUCAGAUACCGUCGUAGUCUUAACCAUAAACUAUGCCGACUAGGGAUCGGAUGAUGUUAAUUUUUUAAUGACUCAUUCGGCGCCUUACGGGAAAACC
rnacentral:rRNA from 1 species